CACCGUUCACAAUCAAAUGGAGAAAAAGAGUACGUUAAUGGAGUUCUUCAACUACGCUCCUGCACGCCGAGCGAUGCAGCGCACCUUGAUCAUUUAAAUCUCUCCCUCUCUCUCUUUCUCCAUGAACCUGUCAGCCGGUCGGUCGUUUACCACUUGUGAUUUGGCCGUUCCUUUCAUUUCUAUGGAGCCUCGCCGGCAAACGGAAAGCCUCGCCAACGAAAAAUGAGAGAGAGGGAGAGGGCUCAGAGGGGGCGGAUCGGUUAGAGAGAUGCAAUGGUGGUCAGAGAAUUUGUCUCUUCUUGAAUUCGAUUGAACAACCAAUUGAAGAGCGGCUGAACGCCAAAAAGAAGAUAGCGAAGGUCGUUUACGAGGGUUUCUUAAACCCUAGCUUUUCAGUCUGGAAGGCAAAUGGUUACCUUCGCCGCAGCAUGCGCCACCGGUGUUUCCUCUCUCUAGCUUUCUUACAGGGCGUUUGAUAUGCCCAUGAACGGCGGAUCAGGAUCAGCGCCGUUCUGGGAUUGAAUAUUAUGACAAACACGCCGAUUCUGGAACGCGCGAAAAGCAUUGUCCUCGCGUUCCGGAAUAUCGUUGAAAGCAGUUCCGUUUUCGGUGGGUUACCACGGGCAGGUUUUGUUUGCUUUAUCCGCAGCGAUAUGAGGUUCCAUGAAUUGAAGCUUCAGAUAUUUGAGGCUAUCACACGCAACCUCAAGCCCGUAUCAAACGCCAUCCUCUAAUGCUGCUCAUCCGUCUUCUGCUGCAUGUACAAAGUGAGGAGGCUCCCGAUUUCUGCUGCUCGUCCGCCAUCGUCUGUUUCGUCCAUAUCUCUCAAUCGAAUGCGAGAACUUUUUCCGUGCCGCUGACUGUAGGACAUAUGCAGAAACUAAAAGCUUGGCUGCCGAACAUCGAGACAGGAGACUUGGUUUUUGUAAGGAAUCGUGUGCUUGCUCACCAAUUGAAGGUAACAACAUCCAAGCCAGUCACACUCAUCUUAGACUUCCAUACGAUAAUGCUUUGCUAAGACCUCCAUUGAUUUUUCCAAAGGAGGGAGCCUUAUGGGUUCCUGCAAGCAGCAUAGUUGUUGGUUGAUGAAAAUCCAAAAUAACAAGUCCUUCCUUCGGAACUGUUAUCGGCCAACCAGAUAGUGUGGCAACACGUAUCUGUCCCUAUCUAUGCAAAUACCAACAUGACAUAAUCGAAUUGCUAGAGACGUUCACCUGCUUGUUCUAAUGGCACAGGUUAACUUUGUUAUGGAAGUAGCAGAACAGGACAUCUUUGUUUCUGAUGUUCCAAGAACACCAGUCAA